rnacentral:rRNA from 1 species
GACGAACGCUGGCGGCGUGCUUAUCACAUGCAAGUCGAACGGAAAGGCCUUUUCGGCGGUACUCGAGUGGCGAACGGGUGAGUAACACGUGGGUGAUCUGCCCUGCACUCUGGGAUAAGCCUGGGAAACUGGGUCUAAUACCGGAUAGGACCGCACUUUAGUGUGUGUGGUGGAAAGUUUUUUCGGUGUAGGAUGAGCCCGCGGCCUAUCAGCUUGUUGGUGGGGUAAUGGCCUACCAAGGCGGCGGCGGGUAGCCGGACUGAGAGGUUGGUCGGCCACAUUGGGACUGAGAGACGGCCCAGACUCCUACGGGAGGCAGCAGUGGGGAAGAUUGCACAAUGGGCGCAAGCCUGAUGCAGCGACGCCGCGGGGUGGAUGACGGCCUUCGGGGUGUAAACUCCUUUCGCCAGGGACGAAGCGUUUUGUGACGGUACCUGGAGAAGAAGCACCGGCUAACUACGUG